UCUGAUUGUACUUGGAGGUAUAAACUUUACUACCAUUUUAGGAUGAUGUGGGUGUUCUACUUGAAGUUGAAGGUAGAUUACAGUGAUUGGGGAGCCGUCUAGCUAGAAAAGGUAAAAUCGGUCCAUGAUCCUUUCUGUACAAUUACUUAAUUAUGUAGUAUCAGGCAGGAAACCCAACUGUACAUUUUAAAGUGGAGGAUCCUUUCAGACAGGAAAUCCAAGUGUAUCAGGAACCGCACCUCUGUUCCUGACAAUAGCAUGGAAAUUUGCAUAUAUUGGAAAAUACGGCUGAAUGUGAUGUGAGUACGAUAUGUGGGCUCUGGGGCACAUUCAUAUAUAGAUUCCGAUGGUAUUUCAAACUUUGACGAUUUUUGCGGUAGAAGUCAGUGUAGUUCACUGCCGAGUACAUCUCACCUAGUCCAACAACCCCCAAAAAGAAUCACAAAAACAAGAUUCAUUUCAAACAUGUGAUAAACAAGGAAGAUACUACAAGUGUGCCUAGUUUUGACUAGAAUAUUCUAGUUCAACUAUAAGAAAGUUUGAUGAGGAGAUGCAAUGUGAUAGGAUGUGAUAAAAACAAAAUACGAUGUAAGGUAGUUGGUGUUGGUGAAGAUAUCAUUCUUAUAUGUAGUUCUUUGGUUUCUGUUGUACCAAAG
rnacentral:lncRNA from 1 species